rnacentral:rRNA from 1 species
GGUACCUAAAGAAUAAGCACCGGCUAACUACGUGCCAGCAGCCGCGGUAAUACGUAGGGUGCGAGCGUUAAUCGGAAUUACUGGGCGUAAAGCGAGCGCAGACGGUUAGUUAAGCAAGAUGUGAAAUCCCCGAGCUCAACUUGGGAACUGCGUUUUGAACUGGCUAGCUAGAGUGUGUCAGAGGGGGGUAGAAUUCCACGUGUAGCAGUGAAAUGCGUAGAGAUGUGGAGGAAUACCGAUGGCGAAGGCAGCCCCCUGGGAUAACACUGACGUUCAUGCUCGAAAGCGUGGGUAGCAAACAGGAUUAGAUACCCUGGUAGUCCACGCCCUAAACGAUGUCAAUUAGCUGUUGGGCAACUUGAUUGCUUAGUAGCGUAGCUAACGCGUGAAAUUGACCGCCUGGGGAGUACGGUCGCAAGAUUAAAACUCAAAGGAAUUGACGGGGACCCGCACAAGCGGUGGAUGAUGUGGAUUAAUUCGAUGCAACGCGAAGAACCUUACCUGGUCUUGACAUGUACGGAAGAGAGUAGAGAUACUCUUGUGCCUUCGGGAGCCGUAGCACAGGUGCUGCAUGGCUGUCGUCAGCUCGUGUCGUGAGAUGUUGGGUUAAGUCCCGCAACGAGCGCAACCCUUGUCAUUAGUUGCCAUCAUUAAGUUGGGCACUCUAAUGAGACUGCCGGUGACAAACCGGAGGAAGGUGGGGAUGACGUCAAGUCCUCAUGGCCCUUAUGACCAGGGCUUCACACGUCAUACAAUGGUCGGUACAGAGGGUAGCCAAGCCGCGAGGUGGAGCCAAUCCCAGAAAACCGAUCGUAGUCCGGAUUGCACUCUGCAACUCGAGUGCAUGAAGUCGGAAUCGCUAGUAAUCGCAGGUCAGCAUACUGCGGUGAAUACGUUCCCGGGUCUUGUACACACCGCCCGUCACACCAUGGGAGUGGGGGAUACCAGAAGUAGAUAGGGUAACCGCAAGGAGCCCGUUUACCACGGUAUGUUUCAUGACUGGGGUGAAGUCGUAACAAGGUAGCCGUAGGGGAACCUGCGGCUGGAUCACCUCCUUU